CAGGGACCAAAGGCAAUAUGAUAUAAAGUGAGUCUUGGUGAACAGAUGCUAAAUUAGUGACAGAAAUAUAAUAGGAAAGGGUAUUUGUUAACAGAAAAAUAUAUUUAAAGGGCACAGACAUGGAUAAGGGCUAGGAGCGAGGCGGAUGGAACAAACAAGGACACUAUGGCUGGAACAAGAGUUAGUUGCAAGAAGCAGAGGCUCAGAGAAGUGAAGCAGCAAUUCCUGUUCAUUUCCUGGCGGACCACUCCUGGCAGCUGCAAACAAGAUGUUUUCUAUGGAUGCUCUUUAUCUUUGGAAUCCUCUUCCUUCCUGGACUGGCAACUGCAGAAUCGAAAUCUCUUGGCCUUCCACAAAGCCUUUUCCAAGGUUUGUCUUUUUAAUUGAGCUUCCACUUAAGCAUACUUAAGACUAUUUGUUUACUACAGAAAACACCAUGAAACUUGGCCAUAAAAUGGUGCGGGAUCCUCUUUUUUUCUGAUUUUUUGAAGAUCCAACUCAAGGCUCACUUUAGUAACCACUCCUUCUUCUUGUGCUUUUCUAUUAAGGAUUUUUUUUUAGACCGUAGAAAAGGUCUUUACAAUGAUUUGCUUAAGACUUAGUUUUGAAUCCCCGAGGAGUUUAGCCCUUUCUAAGAGGAAUGCACAGACGUAAAGUCUGUGGAAGGCAAAACAAAGUCCAGCGGUCAUGCUAAGCCAAACCUAGGCAUCAGUGUAAAGUUCCAACUAAUUCCAUAGGGGAAAAAAUGUUUUUAAGCAUCCAGGACAAAUGAGAAGCCAUAAAUUAAUUUUAAAAUAUUUUUCAUUUUAAUGGCUUUAAAAGCUUAGGAAAGUUAGCUGUUUUUUCUAAGCUUGUCUUGCACAGAAAAAAAAAAAUUGAAAUACUGUUUAUAUGUCCAUAUUUGAGAACCAAGCUGAGCUAAGAUCGUUAAACUUUUAGGAAAAAAAAAAGAUCAUAUAAACACAAACUUUCCAAAAGCAACAUCUUUAGUAAUGAACGAAGUUUAUUUCCACUACCGAAAUUCAUUUUAUUGUGUGUCCCAUUGUCCUAGUAAAAGUUUAGUGAGGAAAUCAACGUGAAUGUUAAAAUAGGGAUAUGACAUUUUGUGAUCUAGCUGGCUCUUAUUAACUCUUGAUUUGCACAUUUCCACAGCGUUCUGUUAGCCAAUAUUGGCCACUGCCUGCAAAACCAUUCAUCCCUUUUUCUAAAACCCGUUUAUAGCCAGGACGCAGCUUCACACUCACACCAGUUUGUCAUCAUCCUGCUAUUUCCCAGCACCUAUCAAAACCCUGCAAUGGGCUUGUAAAGCACGAAGGUCACUUGUGGUGAUCCAGGAAGGCAGGAAGGCCCCAUGAUGCUUUCAGAUUAGAGUAUCCUCUGCACCUUGGCUUCUGUACUCCUGCUUCCUGCCUGCCUGCCCUUGAAGGCGUCCUGGUGGGACCAUGGACUGGAGGAUGCCGUUUCCACAACUCACACGCUAUGAAGACUCCAGUUCUUGGAUUUUUGAUGACCUCUGGGUCCCUCACUUGCCGACUCCCCACCUCCACCCCGCUAGCCCUGUGUUUGAAAUGACAAGCUGCUGUUUAUUUAUAGCUCCCUUUCCCACUUUUAAAAGAAACCAGUGGUUAAAGAUGUG
ensembl:lncRNA